CGUCAAGAGUGAUUGGCACCGAAUUUGGUGAGCGGACUUCUUUUGCCUUUUGAGAGGUGAAGGAAAUG
rfam:Ensifer sp. Root278 contig_25, whole genome shotgun sequence.